rnacentral:rRNA from 1 species
AAGUUGUUGUGGUUAAAAAGCUCGUAGUUGGAUCUCAACAGCCUUGAAGCGGUUAACUUUGUAGUUUUACUGCUUUAUAGGCUGUGCUUUUGCUGGAGGUUUAGGGGUGCUCUUGAUCGAGUGUCUCUGGAUGCCAGCAGGUUUACUUUGAAAAAAUUAGAGUGCUCAAAGCAGGCUAAAAUGCCUGAAUAUUCGUGCAUGGAAUAAUAGAAUAGGAUGUCGAUCCUAUUUUGUUGGUUUUCGGGACUCGACAUAAUGAUAAAUAGGGACAGUCGGGGGCAUUUGUAUUCAAACGACAGAGGUGAAAUUCUUGGACCGUUUGAAGACAAACUACUGCGAAAGCAUUUGCCAAGAAUGUUUUCAUUAAUCAAGAACGAAAGUUAGAGGUUCGAAGGCGAUUAGAUACCGCCCUAGUUCUAACCAUAAACGAUGCCAGCUAGCGAUCUGCCUGCGUUUUUACUGUAGACUGGGCAGGAAGCUUCCGGGAAACCAAAGCAUUUGGGUUCCAGGGGAAGUAUGGUUGCAAAGCUGAAACUUAAAGGAAUUGACGGAAGGGCACCACCAGGAGUGGAGCCUGUGGCUUAAUUUGACUCAACACGGGAAAUCUCACCAGGCCCGGACACUGGAAGGAUUGACAGAUUGAUAGCUCU